AUCUGUUCCUGUUCCAGGAGGUGCUCUUCAGCUGAGACUCAGCCCUUCAUGGAGACUGAAGGAUGGCAAACUCCUCUUGCUGUCCUGUGUCUGCUCUCCAAAGGAUCCCACCAAGCCAGACACAGCAUACCAGCAUUCCCUGUACAAUCAUCUGCAAGCAGAAGGUCCCUGAGUUCAUCAUUCUCUGGUUUAGCAGAGAGGAAGAGACCAGCACUCGAGAACAAAUCGCCUCUCAUGGCAAAAUAUUGGAUGCAGUUGAAGUCUAUCCUCAGCAUGUUGUGGGGAUCUGUGGAGAAGAAAAGACUCAAAAAUAGAAACAUGUCUGAGCAGAAGAACACUACCAAGGCAGGGAAAGUUGGUAAGGAGGAGAAACUAAAUCAUUGGUCCUGAUCCUACUUCUCCUCAAGUCAGUAGGAAGACUUGUGAACUUCACUCCAUAGAAGUGAAUUUCUAUGUUCAAAAGUAU